rnacentral:rRNA from 1 species
UAGGGAAUCUUCCGCAAUGGGCGAAAGCCUGACGGAGCAACGCCGCGUGAGUGAUGAAGGUCUUCGGAUCGUAAAACUCUGUUAUUAGGGAAGAACAAAUGUGUAAGUAACUAUGCACGUCUUGACGGUACCUAAUCAGAAAGCCACGGCUAACUACGUGCCAGCAGCCGCGGUAAUACGUAGGUGGCAAGCGUUAUCCGGAAUUAUUGGGCGUAAAGCGCGCGUAGGCGGUUUUUUAAGUCUGAUGUGAAAGCCCACGGCUCAACCGGGGAGGGUCAUUGGAAACUGGAAAACUUGAGUGCAGAAGAGGAAAGGGGAAUUCCAUGUGUAGCGGUGAAAUGCGCAGGGAUAUGGAGGAACACCAGUGGCGAAGGCGACUUUCUGGUCUGUAACUGACGCUGAUGUGCGAAAGCGUGGGGAUCAAACAGG